GGAGCCAGACUGCGAUAGUGUUGAGCCGAGGGUCAGACUGUGAGAGUUGUGAGCUGGGGUAAGCUUGGUGCUACCUCUUUUCUUUUAUUUGUUAUUUUCUUUGAAUAAGAGGAUUGAAAGUUUUUGAAUAUUGUGAAGUGAAUUAUGGAAUGGAAAUGUGAUUGGUAUUAUUUGAGAAGAUGAAAGAUUGAAUGCUGAAAUCUGAUUGUAGUUCAGUAGAGAGAAUGAGUCUGUAUUUGUGUGAAACACUAUAAUGUGAAUAGCAGUUCUGUAUGAAGAAUUCCAGUGAUUGGAAUGAGGGUAAUUGUGUGCUGAAAGCUGUGAGGGCAUAGUAUUACAGUUGGAGAUUAUGAGGGUGAAUAUAUUGGUGGAAAUAGCAGUUAUUGGUAUGACUGAAUUGUUGUAAGGAAGAGACCGAUAAGGUGAAGGAGGAGAUUGUAGUUUCUUUGUGUAUUUAGAUAUUGGAAAUAGAGACAAUACAUUCAGGAGGUAAUUGAUUGUGUGACCCUAACGUGAACGCUUAAGCAACUAGCCAUUCCUCGUGUUCA
rnacentral:lncRNA from 1 species